AGAGUUUGAUCCUGGCUCAGGACGAACGCUGGCGGCGUGCUUAACACAUGCAAGUCGAACGGGGCGUUUAUUUCGGUAAACGCCAAGUGGCGAACGGGUGAGUAACGCGUAAGCAAUCUGCCUUCAAGAUGGGGACAACACCGCGAAAGUGGUGCUAAUACCGAAUGAAGGUGAAAAAGUCGCAUGACGGUUUCACUAAAGGAGGCCGAAAGGCUUCCGCUUGAAGAUGAGCUUGCGUCUGAUUAGCUGGUUGGCGAGGGUAAAGGCCCACCAAGGCGACGAUCAGUAGCCGGUCUGAGAGGAUGAACGGCCACAUUGGGACUGAGACACGGCCCAGACUCCUACGGGAGGCAGCAGUGGGGAAUAUUCCGCAAUGGGCGAAAGCCUGACGGAGCAACGCCGCGUGAACGAAGAAGGUCUUAGGAUCGUAAAGUUCUGUUGUUAGGGGCGAAGGGUGCUGUUUUGAAUAAGGGCGGCAUUUGACGGUACUUAACGAGGAAGCCACGGCUAACUACGUGCCAGCAGCCGCGGUAAUACGUAGGCGGCAAGCGUUGUCCGGAAUUAUUGGGCGUAAAGGGAGCGCAGGCGGGAGAUUAAGCGGACUUUAAAAGUGCGGGGCUCAACCCCGUGAGGGGGUCCGAACUGGUCUUCUUGAGUGCAGGAGAGGGAAGCGGAAUUCCUAG
rnacentral:rRNA from 1 species